rnacentral:rRNA from 1 species
UACGAAGGGGGCUAGCGUUGCUCGGAAUCACUGGGCGUAAAGGGUGCGUAGGCGGGUCUUUAAGUCAGGGGUGAAAUCCUGGAGCUCAACUCCAGAACUGCCUUUGAUACUGAAGAUCUUGAGUUCGGGAGAGGUGAGUGGAACUGCGAGUGUAGAGGUGAAAUUCGUAGAUAUUCGCAAGAACACCAGUGGCGAAGGCGGCUCACUGGCCCGAUACUGACGCUGAUGCACGAAAGCGUGGGGAGCAAACAGGAUUAGAAC